GUGAGAGAGCGGGUGUUUGUCUGUUUGAAUGAAGCUGUGUGUUGUGAGAGAGAGAGAGAGAGAGAGAGAGAGUGUGUGUUUAAAAUCCUACACCGUGAUCUUAUUUGAUCCGGUCGGGGUCCCGUCCCGCUCCGACUCGGAGGUGAUGAGGCGCCGCUCGUUAGCCCGCGUGGCGGUGAGCGUCUGUCGGCCCAAAGUCUCGGGGCGCCCGCAGUAGAAACUGGGGGUAGAGAUGAUGAGUUGAUCAGAUAUACUAGCGCCGCUGGGGGUCUGGGGGGGUCACUCCCGAACCCCUUUCCUGCGGCCGGUGAGUAUUGAGGCGAUUCUGAUCUUC